GACGAACCGUGCGAACGUUGUUCGGAUUCACUGGGCUUAAAGGGCGCGUAGGCGGGCGGCCAAGUCAGGGGUGAAAUCUUUCGGCCCAACCGGAAAAGUGCCCCUGAUACUGGCGGCCUCGAGGGGGGUAGGGGCAUGCGGAACUUCCGGUGGAGCGGUGAAAUGCGUAGAUAUCGGAAGGAACGCCGGUGGCGAAAGCGGCGUGCUGGACCCCUUCUGACGCUGAGGCGCGAAAGCCAGGGGAGCAAACGGG
rnacentral:rRNA from 1 species